rfam:Picea glauca, whole genome shotgun sequence.
ACAUGCCUACAACAUAGCGUUAAUGCAUCGGAUCCCAUUAGGACUCUGCAGUUAAUCGCACUCAGGCUAGAGUAGUACUAGGAUGGGUGAUCGCCCGGGAAGUCCUAGUGUUUUACAUGUC